rnacentral:ncRNA from 1 species
GACUGUUUAGCGUUUUUAGUAAUUAUGGUGGAAUGAGUAGUUUUAUUAAUUCUCUUUUUUCUCGGACUCUCCCGAACUGUUUAUUAAAAACAUUUCCAUUAUUAAGGUUUAAUGGUAUUGCCUGCCCGAUGCCUAGUGGUGAAUGGCCGCAGUAUAUUGACUGUGCUAAGGUAGCAUAAUUAAUUGCCCUGUAAUUUAGGGAUUGUUUGAAGGGUUUGAUUAGGGGGUUGAAUUCAUAGAUGAGAGUUUUUUUCGAAAUUGGUUUCUUGGUGCAGAAUCCAAGGUUGGUGAGUAAGACGGAAAGACCCCGAGAGCUUGGAUUGAUUUUUUACCUGGGGAGGGGGUAUAUAGUUCAUGUAUUUUAGGAUCCUGGGAGGAUCAUAGGUGUAAGUUACCUCGGGGAUAACUAGGUAAUAGGCAAGGAGAGGUCCUAUCGAUUUGUUUGUUUGCUAUCUCGAUGUUGGUUUGGGGUAACAAGAAGGCGCAGCAGCCUUCUUGCGGGGUCUGUUCGACCAUAGUUCCCCAUGAGCUGAGUUAAGACCGGCGUAAGCCAGGUCGGUUCUUAUCUGCUAGGGCUGUGAUUUAGUACG